UUGAAUGCAGUAUUACAGAGAGAAACAGUGUCUCAUACUGACUUCAGCUCUGAAAUCAAACUCAUUACACCUCAGAGAGCUGGACCUGAGCAAGAAUGAAAUAAACACAGGGGGGAAUCAUUUAUGUGACGUACUGAAGGAUUCACACUGUAAACUGGAGAGAUUGAGGUUAACAUACUGUUAUAUGACAGAUAAAAGGUUGUGCUGCUAUGACUUCAGCUCUGAAAUCAAAACCCAUCACACCUGAAAGUGCUAGACCUAAGCGGGAAUGAACUAGGAAAAUCUGGAGUGAAAAACCUCAGCGAUCUACUGAUGAACCCACAAUUCAAACUGGAAAAACUAAAGCUGUUCUAUUGCAGUAUUACAGAGAAACAGUGUCUCAUCCUGACUUCAGCCUCUGAAAUCAAACCCAUCACACCGGAGAGAACUGGACCUCAGCUGGAAUAAAAUAAAAAACACAGGAGUGAUUCACUUAUGUGACAUACUGAAGGAUUCACAUUGUAAAACUGGAGAGAUUGAGAUUAAGAUACUGUGAUAUGACCGAUGAAGGUUGUUCUACUCUGACUUCAGCUCUGAAAUCAAACCCAAACCACACCUGAGAGAACUGGACCUGAGUGGAAAUAAACUAGGAGACUCUGGAGUAAAAAAAUCUCAGUGAUCUACUGAUGAACCCACAAUGCAAGCUGGUGAAACUAGACCUUUGUGGAAGCAGUAUUACAAAGAAACAGUGUCUCAUCCUGACUUCAGCUCUGAAAUCAAACCCAUCACACCUAGAAGAACUGGACCUGAGAGUAAAUCAAAUAAAAAACACAGGAGUGAAUCACUUAUGUGGCAUACUGAAGGAUUCACACUGUAAACUGGAGAGAUUAAGGUGACAUACACAUAGUUCACAUACAACUAUUUAAGGAACCCUCUCAUUAGGUACAUUAAUAAUAUUACAAAUUAUGAAUCAAUACCUUAUAUCAAGGCUCAUUAUAGUCAUUUUAUACUUCUAUUUAAAGUCCAUAAUUUUUUUUUUUUUGGUUAAAAAAGAUCCGAAAUCAAUAUUUGAGCAAGUACAUAACCAUCCAGUGUUUCAAAACUACCUCCUUACUUUAGCCCGCUUCACAACGGUUAGCUUAUAAUAAUGUUUUAUAAUUUGAGUCGUACGGGUAGAAUUUCGCGGGAAAUUCAAACAUGCCACUGCAUCAUUACGUCACGUCUGUAAACAAAAAAGUUGUCCAGGCUACUAG